CUCGGCCCAUGAGGCUGGGCUGGAGAACGAGCCCAGCCCAGCCCAUCUAAGAACAGCCGUCUCUCUCUCAUCGCAUUUUUCUCUUCUGUUUUUUUCCUACCACGGAGAAAUCGCUCCAGCUUCCAGAAGCCAUGGCCGGAGCUCCGCCGAUCUUCCGGCAGCAAUGGCCGGAGCAGGAGAAGAAGACGGCGAAGUAGCCGCUCCUCCUCCUCCCCCUCCCCCUCACACUCUGGCGAAGCAACGCGCCACUUCGACGAUGAGGCGGCGAGGCGGAGCACCACCACGGAGUCGGCGACGAUCCGUCCUUGCGGAUGGAGAGCCUUCCUCGCCUGGGGUGGAUCGGCUUUGCCGCUUCAUUGGAAGCGAAGAUCAUAGCUUCUGACCUGAAGAAAAAUUAUUCGCUAUCCGAAGAAGUUCAUCACUUUCCUCUCGAGGCCUUGGGUGUUCAAGGCAGCUUUCGUGUGCAGUCCUUGUUUCUGGCUGCUGUUUCUAUAAAGCCACACCCAGGUAUAUGUGGGUUUACAGUACUGAUCAGCAGGACUAAUUUAAGCAUAUCACACCAACUUGACAAACUUCAACAUUUACUAAUUCAAGGAAUGAAUGUCAAGAUGACUGAGUUUCAUGCUGCUGAUCUUGCCCAUUAUGAGUAUGAAGGACAACGGGUCCCUACAGUACUUUAUGGUUGCUCGAAAUUAGAUAAGGCUACAAUAAUAGUGUCUAAAGGCAGCAAAGGACUGACCCAUGUAUUCACUUUAGUUCCAAGUAUUUUUCAGCAAAGAUACUACAUGUGCAAGCUUAUAUACAUGGAUAUGAACAGGUUAACUGGUGUUUAUUAAUUUAUUUAUUCAUUCUUGUUUGCGUACAUUAUAGUUCUUGAAAUUGGAUUUCAAUGUCAUGUUUUUUGUCCUUGUUAUGUUUCAGUUGCAGUAGCUGACAACAAGACCACCUGGCAUGUUUAUGCAUUUGAGGCAUCUGACUUGUCCAAUUAACUGUCUUCUCUAGGCAGCCAAAUGCCGAUAACGGAGUUCUUCAACUUACCCGCUGUCUGGAUAUUGUGCCCGACUGGAGAUGUUGCAUUUAGAUGUGAAUGCCAUUUUUAUCAAUUUAUAUAAAAAAACACAUGGAUCUCAAGUAUACUGCUACUGCCUGAUUGCAUCAUUUUUCAAGAAAGACCUGUACUUGGACUGCUUUGACCGACUGAUUGCAAUCUUUUGAAAUGCAGAUGGUAUAUCUGAGCCUUGACGACGGUGGGAGCGAUGAGGUGGUGGAGGAGGUAGGCUCCCAUAUGAGUCACCAUGGUCAUCUCAGGACAGUCUACAUGAGCGGGUUCCGGUGCUACAAUGAUCAGGUCAAGCUGGCGUACUGUAUCUUGCAGAAUGCUCGUGUUCUCGAGCACAUGGAAAUACAGCCAAGGGUCGCGGCCGGUAAUGUUCUGGAUUCCCCAUGUAGUUUGAUCUGGUGGUCGGCCUGGUCCGACAGUUUUUUUAUGAUUUGCUUGUGCGGCAAUGUGUUCUUGUUUAUGAUCUAUGGUAGGAACUUAUUGUUUCAGGGACUAGGUUUUUUUGCUAACUACUCCUCAGUAAACAAAUAUAAGAUUGUUUAGAUCACUAAACGCUCUUAUAUUUGUUUACUGAGGGGGUAUAAUGAGAACCUGGGCAGUUCAGGCUCAAGUUGUCAGUUAAGUCAACCUUUUGCUGCUGGGUUUGGAAGUAGUAGUACAGAUGUAAAUUAACUGCAGCCUGGGCAGGCAAUGCAAAGCCUCCAUCUAUACUUGGCAACUGCAAUGACACAGUCCCAUACAUCUAUGCUUGUAUUUCUUGCAGUUAAUUUCACACCGGGUGCAGUUAAUUCAACACCGGGUUAAAAUAUCUGAACCGAUUGGUUUGCUUCUAUUAGCAGCACACCUAGUUCUGACGGUAUGUGUUCCUCCAGGUAUUGCUUCACGAAGCUUAUCCAUAUGCUGUCUAUGUCCACUACUCCAUCCCUUCCAUUUAUAAUUAAGUUCCCUCGGCGUGGAUGGUGGAGAAAAUCUAGCGUACGUAUUCAUCGCGUGGUCGUCCAUGACCGACGAUCGGCACCCAUUAAUUUCCACGCGGCAUCAUUGCUUGUUCUUUCCAUGUUCUUGAUAUGAUGACUUGGUUCUUCAUGCUCGUAGCAAAAUCAAAAUUCAUAUAAAAUUCAUAUAGAGAUUCCGAUGAAUAAAGGCGUGCUGCCGGCCACAAGCUUCUUGCCAGCUACGUACUGUUCAUGGAGCAUGCUGGUAACUUCUUCCACAGUCUGCAUUCGGGAUGAUUUCUUUCUUUGACAAUGCAUCUGCUUGCAUCUACAAUGCUGGUAACUUCAUCCCACGAGUAUUCGCAGUAUAACUUCCACAAAUAUUUUUUGUACUUCUGUAUUCUUGUCUCUUUUUUCAAAAUAAAAAAUUCCUUCAGUCUGCGUGGAUUAGUUAGGUCGUGCGACUGAACUGAAGUGCGAAAGUGCAGUGUUUCUAAGAAAUCUGAAGCUAGAACCAAAUCCCGAUCGAGUUAAGCUUGCCUGCUCAUCCAUCCACGUCCACACGAGACCUGGCUAGCUACUCUCCCUCUGUACGGAGGGAGUACUAACUAGCCCAAGCUUUGAUCUCUGAGCGCGCACAAGCACUUGGCUGUUGAGUGGGAAUCGAAUCGGAGAAAGGAGCGGACUGAUUGCGCCGUACGUCGAAUGGAACCGGAGAAAGGAGUGGAUGGAGAUCACGCACGCACGCACACACGGGGCGACCCAUAGAGCCUUAUCAUCUUAUCUUAACCCGGAAAACGGGGCGACCUAUAUAGCCUUCAAGCUCUAGGCCGGGUCAAACAUUUAGCCGGAUUAUAACCAUGGGAAAUAUCCCCAACAUCGCGCUUCCAUCA